rnacentral:lncRNA from 1 species
GAUUCCUUAACGUCGAAUUGAACGAAUUUUUUAUAUGAUGAAGUUCUAUAUGUCUAGUUAUGAUAUGGAAAGUUUUACAUUGUUUUGAAUUAAACUGAAUGUUUAGUUAGCAGCACUGAGUCGUGAGUGAUGCCAUGGCACUGAGCGUGUAAAGUGCGGCAUCUAUCGCAAGUGUGGGGCAUCACCUUAUUGUGAAAUCCCAUGAAGUACAGGUGCUAAGAGCUUAGUUGGUUGCAGAGCGGAAUUUGUUGAAGAAUGGCAGCGUGUUAUAAGGAGUUUGAAGAAGGAGAGAGCAAAGACAGUGGAGACGAAUCAACAUCAGUUUGAAAUAUUGUAAGAAGAAAAUCAAAAGCUGUUGAAGAUGGUAGAUUUUGUUGUUGUUGUUGUUGUUUUAAAUGAAUGUAGUCCCAUAUUUUCUCUUUUUUUUUUUAAUGUGAAAUAAACAAAUAUAUAUAUAUAUAUAUUUUUUAUUUUUUAUUUUUUUAUUUAAAUUUUUUUUUAUUAGUGUAUGUUUCUGAUUUUAAAUUUAUUUAUUAUAUUUUUUUGAAUUUGGGGAUUGGUGAGGGGAGGAACUCUUUCAUUUUUCAUUGACCGCCAAAUAACUCCAGCCAAAACUCAAAUUUCCCCGUUCUUCUCCAGCCAAAGUGAAAAAUGGGCAAUUUCGAAAACCUAGCAGCCGCCCAACACUCACUCUUCCUCUGCGUUUCUCUCUCAUCUCAUCCAUCUUCGUCUGCCUCUCACUGCCUCUGUCUCUCUCUCACAAUCUCCCCCUCUCUGUCUCUCUCACGAUCUCACCUCUUUCUCAAUUAGUUAGAUUUCAGUUCUCUUUUUCAAGGAACGAUCUCACCUCGCAUCUUCAGCCACCUGCUUCUCUCUCUCUCUCUCUCUCUCUCUCUCAACCUCAUCUUCUUCUCCGCAUCUUCAUCUGCCUCUCUAUGUCUCUGUCUCUCUCGCACGAUCUCACCCUCUCCGUCUCUCUCAUGAUCUCACCUCUGUCUCAAUUAGUUAGAUUUCAGUUCUCUUUUUCAUGUCUCUGGUUUUUUUUGUUUGUUGUUGGUAUAAAUGAUCAUGUGGAUUUUGGGUAUUUCGAAAUUGUCUUUCGAUUUUCAAGGCAUGUGGUGUUUCCUUUUGAAUCUAACGAUAAAUUGAAUUUGUGCAGGUGUUUUCUAUGGCUCAAGGGAACAACAAUUGGAUUUUGGGUUAAUUGAUUUCUAGGUAUGUUCUUCUUUUCCAGAUUGGUAGUAUUUGGUUGACUUUCAUCAGGAAAAAUACAUCUGCAUUUAUUUCCCCUUCUCUGUUGGCCUGGGUUGCUGUUCUGUUUUCCUGGGGCUGUUUGUUUCUCUUGCAAAGGUUUGGUUUCAUGUAUUCCUCUUAUUUGUGUUCUCAGAUUUGGUGAACAUAUGUAAUUAGCUUUUAUAUGCCAAUCACUUUGUGCUCCAUUUCUUGAACUAUGCUGCCACUGUAUUGCAAAUGUUAAACUGCUUCUUUGUGCGUAACUUGUAGAGGAACUGAAUUUAGCAUUCAAAUCUUAAACUUGCCUAUGCCAUUGAAACGUUAUUAGUUGGAUUUGAUAGACUUUGCUUAGGUUAACACGCUCAAUGACUUUCAUUCUUCAUCAUUCUCUUAAGGCCUGUGUAUUGUUUGUUAUCUGGGUAUUGGCUUAAUAUUUGUACAACAUAGCUUCUUGAGUUCUUUUAGCUUCUGGUAAUUUGGGUAUGAGGUUUGUAUCACCCAAGUAACAUGAAAAUCCUUUCUUUCAAAGUACUGGAGGCCUAUUAACAUGAAAUUCUUUUUUGCUUUUUUGAAAAUCCUUGCAGCAAUAGAGAAGCAGCAGUGUCAAUCAAGUUGAAUGACUCGCCACAAUUAGAGAAGCAUCUUUUUUUUCCUCGUGUGGAGACCCGUACCUUGCCCACCUCUUCAAUGACUUAAAGAUGAACUAUUAUCUUAACAUAGAAGCACCAUAAGAGUUUAGAUUUACUUUGGGAUAUUGAAAAUGUUUACUAAUGAUAUAGGAUUGUAAUGAGUUUUUGGAAUUUAUUAUAUUGGUCUUUUAUUAAUGAUAAUAUAUAUUAUUUUUGG